rnacentral:piRNA from 3 species
CGGCGGCUUUGGUGACUCUAGAUAAC